rnacentral:rRNA from 1 species
AUUGAACGCUGGCGGCAGGCCUAACACAUGCAAGUCGAGCGAGCGGCGGACGGGUGAGUAAUGUCUGGGAAACUGCCUGAUGGAUGGGGAUAACUACUGGAAACGGUAGCUAAUACCGCAUACCAUCAGAAGUGCCCAGAGGGGAUUAGCUAGUAGGUGGGGUAACGGCUCACCUAGGCGACGAUCCCUAGCUGGUCUGAGAGGAUGCCCAGCCACACGGGAACUGAGACACGGUCCAGACUCCUCCGGGAGUCAGCAGUGGGGAAUAUUGCACAAUGGGCGCAAGCCUGGUGCAGCCAUGCCGCGUGUGUGAAGAAGGCCUUCGGGUUGUAAAGCCCUUUCGGCGGGGAGGCGUUACCCGCAGAAGAAGCACCGGCUAACUCCGUGCCAGCAGCCGCGGUAAUAC